AGCAGCCGCGGUAAUUCCAGCUCCAAUAGCGUAUAUUAAAGUUGUUGCAGUUAAAAAGCUCGUAGUUGAAUUUCGGGGUUCUACCGUUGGUCGGGCUUUGUCUGUACUGGCGUGUAGAAUUUCUACCUUCUGGGGAACCAUCAUGUUAUUAAUUUAGCGUGGCGGGAAACCAGGACCUUUACCUUGAAAAAAUUAGAGUGUUUAAAGCAGGCUUACGUUUGAAUACAUUAGCAUGGAAUAAUAAAAUAGGACGGUGGUCCUGUUUUGUUGGUUUCUGAGUCACCGUAAUGAUUAAUAGGGAUAGUUGGGGGCAUUAGUAUUCAAUUGUCAGAGGUGAAAUUCUUGGAUUUAG
rnacentral:rRNA from 1 species